GAUGACAGUAUUUUGGGUGUGGGUGGGUUACUAUGGUGCGAGUGCCGGGCAGGAGGCACAGGACACAUGCCCACUGUCAGCGCUCGUCAUAUGCUCCAGAGUCCUGGCCCUAGCUAUAGGCAACUACCUAGGACAUGGGGAAAUCCUAGGGCCUGCAGAGCAGCAUGGCAUACUACUGUCAGUGUCAGCACAGCUGUGAAAGUGAAACUACAGAGGAGUCCGAUCAGGGGGCGUGGCUACACGGGUCACUGCUGCCUUCCUGCAAUGUGUGAAACUGAGGGGAGGAAUGGCUCUGAGCUGCAAUACUGGACAUUGUGAUAUGCUGCCAUGUAAUUGUCAUGUGUUAAGCAGCUGCCCGGGAUCUGCCACCACGAGGAGCCUGACUGCCAGCGAGGAGAGAUGGGCCGGCCUGACCAUUACAUCGCGGAGAGUACCAUAUGUGGAGGGUGCUGCUGCUGCCUUCUCAUGUCCUCCCGAGGUGUGCUCGCACACCUGCUGCACUGCUUAAAGAGAGAGCCUGGAUCACAGUGUGAGGUGAGUGGGGACCCAGGGAGGGAAACCACUGGGACAGGGUCGCACACUGCGGCCGCCAUCUUUCUGCACCUCUGCCUUAGUCACUCUAUACCUGUCACCCACUAUCUCCCUGUCAGCCCUGUCUCAGUCAAAGUAUAGAUAGCGUGGCGAGCCACCGUGCCCGCAGCAUGGCGAGCCCGCAAGGGGCUCAUUUGCG